AGUCACUAUUGAAUAAGUACAUUCCGUAUUUAGUUUUUUUUGUACAUAUCAAAUAAAACUUGCAAUCAUAUUUUACAUUCAAGCAUUUAAUGUUAAUUAACUUCCAAUGAAUUGUGGAAUUGCAGAGUGUUGAUGAAAAUGAAUGUCAAAAAAAGCGCACUUCCUCAAUGGAAAUCAGUUAAGUACGCCCAACAAGAGGGUGGGGUCGAGUGUGGCUAUUACGUGAUGAAAUUCAUGCAUGACAUAUUCAAAAGUUGCAAGGAAGUUCAAGAUCUGGAAAAGGUUUUCAAAACUCCAAGGGAGGAGCCCUUUACCAAAAAGGAGUUGGAUGAAGUUCGAGACAAGUGGGCUAUUUACUUCAACGAUUGUGA